AUUGAACGCUGGCGGCAGGCUUAACACGUGCAAGUCGAGCGGGGGAAGGUAGCUUGCUACCGGACCUAGCGGCGGACGGGUGAGUAAUGCUUAGGAAUCUGCCUAUUAGUGGGGGACAACAUCUCGAAAGGGAUGCUAAUACCGCAUACGUCCUACGGGAGAAAGCAGGGGAUCUUCGGACCGUGCGCUAAUAGAUGAGCCUAAGUCGGAUUAGCUAGUUGGUGGGGUAAAGGCCUACCAAGGCGACGAUCUGUAGCGGGUCUGAGAAGAUGAUCCGCCACACUGGGACUGAGACACGGCCCAGACUCCUACGGGAGGCAGCAGUGGGGAAUAUUGGACAAUGGGGGGAACCCUGAUCCAGCCAUGCCGCGUGUGUGAAGAAGGCCUUAUGGUUGUAAAGCACUUUAAGCGAGGAGGAGGCUACUUUAGUUAAUACUUGGAGAUAGUGGACGUUACUCGCAGAAUAAGCACCGGCUAACUCUGUGCCAGCAGCCGCCGUAA
rnacentral:rRNA from 1 species